UACGGAGGGUGCGAGCGUUGUCCGGAAUCACUGGGCGUAAAGGGCGCGUAGGUGGCGCCGCAAGUCAACGGUGAAAGCUCGUCGCUUAACGACGAGUCGGCCGUCGAGACUGCGGGGCUUGAGGCACUGUAGAGGCAGAUGGAAUUCCGGGUGUAGCGGUGGAAUGCGUAGAGAUCCGGAAGAACACCGGUGGCGAAGGCGGUCUGACUGG
rnacentral:rRNA from 1 species